rnacentral:rRNA from 1 species
UACGUAGGGUGCGAGCGUUGUCCGGAAUUACUGGGCGUAAAGGGCUCGUAGGUGGCCAACUAAGUCAGACGUGAAAUCCCUCGGCUUAACCGGGGAACUGCGUCUGAUACUGGAUGGCUUGAGUUUGGGAGAGGGAUGCGGAAUUCCAGGUGUAGCGGUGAAAUGCGUAGAUAUCGGGAGGAACACCAGUGGCGAAGGCGACUACCUGGCCUGUUCUUGACGCUGAGGCGCGAAAGCUAGGGGAGCAAACGGGG